CGAAAGCCUGAAGCAGCAACGCGCGUGUGUGAUGAAAGGCCUUCGGGUCGUAAAGCACUUUUCUGGGAGAUGGAGAAAGGACAGUAUCCCAGGAAUAAGUCUCGGCUAACUACGUGCCAGCAGCCGCGGUAAAACGUAGGAGGCAAGCGUUAUCCGGAUUCACUGGGCGUAAAGCGCGUGCAGGCGGUGUGGUAAGUUGGGCGUGAAAGCUCCCGGCUCAACUGGGAGAGGUCGUCCAAUACUACCGUACUUGAGAGCAGAAGAGGAAGAUGGAAUUCCCGGUGUAGUGGUGAAAUGCGUAGAUAUCGGGAGGAACACCAGUGGCGAAGGCGGUCUUCUGGUCUGUUUCUGACGCUCAGACGCGACAGCUAGGGUAGUAAACGGGAUUAGAGACCCCGGUAAUCCUAGCCGUAAACGAUGUGAACUUGGCGUUGGUGGGUUAAACUCCAUCAGUGCCGUAGCAAACGCGAUAAGUUCACCGCCUGGGGACUACGGCCGCAAGGUUA
rnacentral:rRNA from 1 species